UAUUCAGAGCAAGUGAUGAAUUUGGGUGAAUUUCUCUUUACGCUUUUAUCAGAAGCUCUAGGGUUGAACCCUAAUCACCUCAAUGACAUGGAUUGCUCUAAGGGUUUGGUCAUGCUUUGCCAUUACUACCCACCAUGUCCAGAGCCUGACCUAACUUUAGGCACAAGUCAGCACGCCGACAAUACUUUUCUUACCGUUCUUCUUCCAGAUCAGAUCGAAGGGCUUCAGGUUCUUCGUGAAGGGUAUUGGUUCAAUGUUCCUCAUGUUCCCGGAGCUCUAAUCAUCAACAUUGGAGAUCUUCUACAGGCAAGUUUGCACAACCAAUACAUUUUUGCUCUGUUUUGCACAAGUAUAAAUCUUCCUCUUGGUUCAAAGAUUUUUUAUUGGGAUUUUGAUGCAGCUUGUAACAAACGACAAGUUCAUCAGUUUGGAGCACAGAGUAUUGGCGAACAGAGCCACAAGAGCUCGAGUCUCUGUAGCAGGUUUCUUCACCACCGCCAUGAGACCGAAUCCUACACUGUACGGACCCAUUAGAGAGCUUGUGUCUGAAGACAACCCUCCAAAGUACAGAGAGACCACUAUUAGAGACUACACUGUUCACUUCAGUGCCAAAGGACUUGACGGAACCUCUGCUUUGCUCCAUUUUAAAAUAUGAAACAUGGCCAGCUAGCUUCUACUUUAUCACACAUAUAUGACAUGAUAUAUAUAUGUAACAUGUUGGAUAUGUGUGAACCACAUGCAUGUGGAAUUUAUGAAAUAAAGAUUGUUAUUUCGGUUUAGUCCAAAUAAGGUGUGAUUGGUUAUGGUGGUUAAAAGAUAUGUUUCUUUGUAGCUAUGAUUAAACUAUUACAGAGUAUGCAAAGUUCUACAGAUCCAAAGGAUUCGAUGGUACCUCUGGAUUACUUUAUCUCAAGAUCUGAGAAUGCCAUAUACUGUAUCAUUUUGUCUAACAGAUGCGUGAGACUAAUUUGAUUUUUUUCUUUUCUGUAAUAACCUCUUGUUAAUUACUUAAGUCUGCUCCAGUCACUGUCACAAGCGGUUGUUUUUGUCAAGCAACCUUAUCUCUAAUCAAUGGUUUUGCUGUAUCAACUGGUCCAAUCUUUGAACUUAAGAAAAAAGUUUCUUUCUUGUUUUUAUGGAUUCUUAAGUUAUGUGGGAUUGUAUCAUAUUGUUCUGUUUUUCGAGAAACUAAAACUAUGGAGACGACGAAGAUUGCUUCUUCAUUCGAUCGUGCCGGUGAGCUUAAAGCUUUCGAUGAAACGAAAACGGGUGUGAAAGGACUCGUUGACGCAGGAGUUUCACAAAUUCCGCGCAUCUUUCAUCAUCCAUCUGUCAAAUUAUCAAACCAUAAACCACUUUCCUCAGACUUGGUACAUCUCAAGACGAUCCCAACGAUUGAUCUAGGAGGAAGGAUCGUUGAGGACACGAGCAAGCGCAAGAACGCGAUUGAAGGGAUUAAAGAAGCAGCAGAGAAGUGGGGUUUCUUCCAGGUGAUCAACCAUGGAGUUUCGCUUGAUCUUCUUGAGAAGAUGAAAGAUGGAGUUCGUGACUUUCACGAGCAAUCCCCUGAAGUGAGGAAAGAAUUCUAUAGUCGCGAUUUCAGCAGAAGGUUUCUGUAUUCAAGUAAUUUCGAUCUCUUCAGUUCUCCAGCUGCAAAUUGGAGAGACACUUUCUCUUGUACUAUGGCUCCAGAUACUCCAAAACCACAGGAUCUUCCGGAGAUUUGUAGGUAUGACUCCAUUGCCCUAACUUGAUUUCAUGUGUACUCUUUGUUCAUAUGGUGAAUCACUAAAUUGUUUCAGGGAUGUUAUGAUGGAAUACUCAAAGCAAGUGAUGAUUUUGGGUAAAUUUCUCUUUGAGCUUUUAUCAGAAGCUCUAGGGUUGGAACCUAAUCACCUCAAUAACAUAGAUUGCUCCAAGGGUUUGCUCAUGCUCUCCCAUUACUACCCACCGUGUCCAGAGCCUGACCUAACUUUUGGCACAAGUCAGCACUCUGACAACUCUUUCCUUACCGUCCUUCUCCCCGAUCAGAUCGAAGGGCUUCAGGU
rnacentral:lncRNA from 1 species